GACGAACGCUGGCGGCAGGCUUAACACAUGCAAGUCGAACGAUGAAGCCGGAGCUUGCUCUGGUGAAUUAGUGGCGAACGGGUGAGUAACACGUGAGUAACCUGCCCUUGACUCUGGGAUAACUGCGGGAAACUGUAGCUAAUACCGGAUACGACCCUCGGCGGCAUCGCCAGGGGUGGAAAGAAUUUCGGUCAAGGAUGGACUCGCGGCCUAUCAGCUAGUUGGUGAGGUAACGGCUCACCAAGGCGACGACGGGUAGCCGGCCUGAGAGGGUGACCGGCCACACUGGGACUGAGACACGGCCCAGACUCCUACGGGAGGCAGCAGUGGGGAAUAUUGCACAAUGGGCGCAAGCCUGAUGCAGCAACGCCGCGUGAGGGAUGACGGCCUUCGGGUUGUAAACCUCUUUUAGUAGGGAAGAAGCGAAAGUGACGGUACCUGCAGAAAAAGCACCGGCUAACUACGUGCCAGCCGCCGCCGUAA
rnacentral:rRNA from 1 species